rnacentral:misc_RNA from 1 species
UUUAAAUUACCAUAAAUCCAAAAACUUCAAAAUUUUAAUCUAUGUAACGCCUUCAUAGUUUAAAUUACCAUAAAUCCAAAAACUUAUUAGCAAACGUUUGCGUAAUUAUGGUAAUUUAAAAUUCAUUACAAUCCCCAAAUUAUCUCCCUUAAAUAUUCUAUAAAGAUUUGUUUUCCAAAAGCUACAUAUACGACACACACCACCUCUCUCUUCUCUCUCACAAUGGUUAAAACUAAAGCACUAGCUCCCUACUCUACCUUAGAUUAAAUCUACGACGAUCAUUUAACCGCAGGUAACAAUAAGAUUGUUGUUCGGAUCAUCCAUAGUUGGGAAUUUUGAGACUUUAGAAGAAACAAUAGCUUACUAAGUCUUGAAUGUCUUCUUUUUGACGAAAAUGUAAAUAAUCCUAACUAUUUUCCAUCUUCUUCAAUUUUUUACAUUCAUUAUUACACAUAAUUUUAUAUUUUCUCACACGAUUGUGCUAUAGAAGCUUCUGUCCUCCCUAAUCGGCUGCCUAACUUCCAAGAUCAAAUGGUUCUAGGCAAUUUGUACGGCAUCAAUGAUUUCGAUGUUGUUGCUUCCUCAAACCGUUAUCGUCGAACCAACCACAAAUGUAAAAUUGUUUUCACAGACAAAACGUUUUUGGACAGUGUUAAAGAGCGACAUUGCUCCAUUGGUUACGAAUAUGUUAGGAUGUAAGUUGCUUGAAUUGGUAAACAAGGGCGAUCGAGGAGCUUCUAGACCAAACAAACCCUCCCAAGAUAACAUUCAAUAUUAUAUUGACUUGCAUUUUAGAAAGGAAAUACAACAAAAACAUUCCUUCCAAUGAUGUGUCCUACCAACAAGUUAAGAAAAGUCAACCACUACUAGUUUCAUCCGGUUCUGAAACCAAAGAACAACAAGUAAUCAACAUGCCAUCACAUCAAUACAAGCCAUAUGUAAGGAAUUACAAUUUUAAGGCACAUAUGAAUGUUGAAUGGUGCUGUUCAACCGAAACGAGAAAGUAUUUAUUUAAAUACAUCAAAAAAAGGGGUUGACAAAGCUACAAUUGUUGUAGAGAGGGCCUCGGGGUCGGUGGUAAAAACAAAAGGCGAGUCAAACUAUGUUGACGAGAUUAAAAAAUUUCAAGAAUGUCGAUAUAUUUCAGCAUGUGAGGCAAUGUGGAGGAUAUUUCGUUUGAUAUUCACUAUAGCAGACCAGCCGUUCAACACCUUUCUUUGCACCUGCCUGACCAACAACCUCUUAUAUUCGAUGCAAACCAAAGUCUCGACAGUGUCAUUUCACGAGAUGGAGUUGACAGGACAAUGUUUACAGAGUGGAUGAAGAUUAAUCAAAGUGACGAAGAAGCCAAAAGUAUGACAUAUGUUCAAUUCCCAACUCGGUUUGUCUGGAAUACCACGACAAAAAAAUGGACAAAAAGAAAACAAGGUUUCAAAAAGUUUGAAGCACUCGAUAUCUAAAAGUGCGCAAAAAACAAAUCAUCUCAUCUGAUUCUGAAGAACAUUUAGACGGCGAAGAGGCGACACCUUAGCACAUCUAUUAUUGUAACUUGACGUUACUAUCUUUACAAUUUCCUAUAUUAGUCUACUUCUCAAAUCUUUAGUUUCACAAGUUAUUUUUAUUUCACAAGUUAUUUCUCUUUAUACAUUUUGUUUCUUUCUCUGGUUCUGUAAUAAACCAUUAU